CUCCCAAACCCAAUGUGAACGUUACCAAACUGUUGCCUCGGCGGGAUCUCUGCCCCGGGUGCGUCGCAGCCCCGGACCAAGGCGCCCGCCGGAGGACCAACCAAAACUCUUAUUGUAUACCCCCUCGCGGGUUUUUUUAUAAUCUGAGCCUUCUCGGCGCCUCUCGUAGGCGUUUCGAAAAUGAAUCAAAACUUUCAACAACGGAUCUCUUGGUUCUGGCAUCGAUGAAGAACGCAGCGAAAUGCGAUAAGUAAUGUGAAUUGCAGAAUUCAGUGAAUCAUCGAAUCUUUGAACGCACAUUGCGCCCGCCAGUAUUCUGGCGGGCAUGCCUGUCCGAGCGUCAUUUCAACCCUCGAACCCCUCCGGGGGGUCGGCGUUGGGGAUCGGCCCUCCCUUAGCGGGUGGCCGUCUCCGAAAUACAGUGGCGGUCUCGCCGCAGCCUCUCCUGCGCAGUAGUUUGCACACUCGCAUCGGGAGCGCGGCGCGUCCACAGCCGUUAAACACCCAACUUCUGAAAUGUUGACCUCGGAUCAGGUAGGAAUACCCGCUGAACUUAAGCAUAUCAAUAAGCGGAGGAAAAGAAACCAACAGGGAUUGCCCCAGUAACGGCGAGUGAAGCGGCAACAGCUCAAAUUUGAAAUCUGGCCCCUAGGGUCCGAGUUGUAAUUUGUAGAGGAUGCUUUUGGUGAGGUGCCGCCCGAGUUCCCUGGAACGGGACGCCACAGAGGGUGAGAGCCCCGUCUGGCUGGCCGCCGAGCCUCUGUAAAGCUCCUUCGACGAGUCGAGUAGUUUGGGAAUGCUGCUCAAAAUGGGAGGUAUAUGUCUUCUAAAGCUAAAUAUUGGCCAGAGACCGAUAGCGCACAAGUAGAGUGAUCGAAAGAUGAAAAGCACCUUGAAAAGAGGGUUAAAUAGUACGUGAAAUUGUUGAAAGGGAAGCGCUUGUGACCAGACUUGGGCGCGGCGGAUCAUCCGGGGUUCUCUCCGGUGCACUUCGCCGCGUCUAGGCCAGCAUCAGUUCGUCGCGGGGGAAAAAGGCUUCGGGAACGUGGCUCCUCCGGGAGUGUUAUAGCCCGUUGCAUAAUACCCUGCGG
rnacentral:rRNA from 1 species